GUGUGUGGGCAGAGGCUGAGGGUGUGUGCUGCACUCUAUCAUACCAGACACCCUCACAGCAGAAGUGUUUGAGAAAUUAUUUGGAAUUCUUGUGAAAUUUUUCAGCAUCGAAGCAUAAUCAGGCUGAACUCUCAGUGACCCUUUCCCUAAAAUCUCUCAUUAUCUCUUGACACUCGGCUCAGUCAUCUCAUCUGUCGUCCCUGGGUCGGACGUUUUUGUAAUUGGGUGUUUUCUUUGUGGUUUCUACACACAGAGUGUGUCUUUGGUUAACAGUAACUUUGAGCUUUCCAGCGGCUCUUCCUGGCAGGAUAUGGAACAAUCAUCCAGCACACCAAACAAACCUUUUUGUUUUUACCUCCCAUUGUAUUGUGAUUUAACCUCCAAUAAGAAAGAAGUGGAAGACUACCGUCUUUCUUACAUUGCACAACCCUGUUUUACGCACUUUACUCUCUUUGUAACAUCAGGUUGUGUCGGCUCUAAGGUGAAUAUUAAAUUAGAAAAUGGCUUCUGGUACUUUAACAUAGUGUCAAGAAAAACAGCCAUGGUGUGAUAACAUUCAGGACUCGCUUAUAGGAUUGUUACAAUCUUAGCUUUAUGAAUUCACUGGGACUCAGAGGGUACAAAAAUACUGAAAGAGUCACCUUUUUAUAUUUAAAACUUAGAUUAACCACUUUCAAAAAAGCCCCACCUGCAACUCAAACUAAUCGGCACUGGAUGGUAGGGAUGAGAAUCGAUAACUGGUUCCCAGUGAUUUGAUUCCUAAGAAAUGUUUGUCUGCCUCCUUAACAAUUCUGCUUAUCGGUUCCUCUUACAUGUUUUGGUUCAGAACUUUCCAGCAUGGUGUCGCGGCAAAAGCACUCUAGAGUUUGGCUGUAUUUUACACAAAAAGAUGAUACCGGGGCUACUUGCAACACAUGCAAAACUUUAAUUCCAUUGAAGGGGGAAAUACUUCCAAUAUGCAAUUAAUUUGCGGAAGUGUAAUAUGUUUGAUACACUACUUAGCAAAGGCGAGACUGGUACAGGCAAAAGCAGGAGCAGAGCUAAUGUCUCGGUGUCAUUUGCUUUAAAUGCUUAGGGUAACGUUUAACUUCUCCAGGUCCUGUUUGUUGUGUAGAUGUUAGCGCCAUGUUAACCCCUUUUCACUAUAUAAGUACUCUCCAUCUACUUAAAUCACAUUUACAUGACGAUGACUAGCUCUCACGCUGGCUCAGAGGCUGCAGCGAGUAGCUCUUGUACACCUUUGGCAGCUCCUUUCAUCGAGGCAUGGAAGAGUAAAAUGACAGCGGCGAAGAUAAAUAAAGGCUGAAGUAACAGGUCAAAUUGUUACAGAUGGAUUGAACAAAUGUAGCACUGAAACACUAGGCCAAGAGUCCAGCCUGACACCAAAAGUUAAGUGUUUUUCAUCACUAGUGUAAAUAUGAUGUUUAAGUUCUUCCCAUACUCACCAACUCUCAGUCUGUCUAUACGGCAAAGUGAAAGUUUGAGGGAGAGCUCCUGUGUGGUUGGCAAAGCUUAAACCAGUGAGUUCAUGUGAUUCUAUUUCUGUACGGGCUGUACUGUUAAAUAUUUUAUAGGCCUGUUAUACUAUAGGGGAGUCAGCUGAGGCUGAAUGGUAUUUAAAAAACAGGGAAAAUGUGCAUUUAUGUUAACACUGAGCUUUUCCAUUCGAAACAGUGAUUACCUCUUCAGGUUUUGAAAGUAUGUGCAGUUCUGUCACUUGGAUCAUAAUCACCAUGGAUACGAUGUGCAAACUUGAUCAGGCGAUUUAACUGGGCUGUUGUCCUUGUUCCAGGUCUAUUUUUAAAGUGUGUGAAUUUACUUUGGGAGUUGAUUAAGAUUCUGAUAUUUACUUUUUACCAGCAUUAUCCAGACCAGCUGUGUACAAACAUUAAGAGAUGACAUGCAGGAACGAAACUCUCACUUCACUUUACGCUGCUUUCAGUUUCCAGACAGUUAGCACAGUUUUCCAUGUGAUGGCAACAAACAUUAGACAUACUGAACAUAAUCUUUGUGUGUGUUAUUCAGUAGCAGUGGUAUCAUCAGGGACAUUGGCUGUAUAUAAAAGCUUUCGCAUUAAACCUCAUCACUUUACUACUGGUGUAAUAUUUUUAGGGACACAAUCGGUCAAAGGCCCUUGAAAUCAUUUAAACCUUAAGCUCCCGUACUGCUUCCCUUUUUUCAGGACAGAGUAGCAGGAACAGCCCUGUUACAUUCCUUUUAAAUAUGUGCUGAGUGAAAGUGAUGCAGCACGCAAUUAGAAGAUCGUAAAUGGUCAUUAUCUAACAGGAUGAUUUACUCAGCCUUAAGGACGUGCCAGAACAGUGCAGCGAAAAAUACUUUGUGAUCAGGGACAACAUAAUGAAAGUCAUCCAGUUUUGAUUCUUAAUUUUAUUUGUUCAUCUUUUACUUGGAACUCCCGUUUGCAUCUUCUUUUCAAUGGACUAUUCCUUUAGCACUACAUGGUCUGUACCAUGUUGUAGUUUUUGAUUGCUUUGUGUCUGUUUUCUUCGAUUUGGGUGAUGUUUCUGUGAUUGGCUUCAGUUGGACAUUAGCCAGUAGGAUUGAUAAAGUAUACUCCAGGUAAAGGUCUUAUUCCCAGUCAGCACUGAUGCUGUAGCUAAUUGAACUUGUAAAAUGAACUACUCAGUGCAUUUUGUCCAAUAAAGACUAAACCUCUCAAAAACAUCAAAUGUUUGGGCAUCAAAGAGACAAAAAACAUGUUGUACAAAAUCACUACAUGGUUAAAGUAAAAUAAAUAAAUAAAUAAAGUUGUGUCUGGCGUGUACAGGUGCAGUAACCUGCCUCUCUCGGCUGCACUGCAGUAAAUCUUUAUACAAGCCCAGAGUCAUCCUCUGAAACAGGUAAUUAUUUCCAGCAUGCCUGUCAUUCUUGAACUUCACUCUACACUGACUUCUGCUGAUCUUUGCGCCACCUCGGGCAGCUAUAAGCUCUAAAGUGGAACUGUGGUGUGUAUAGGGCCGUAGUAACACUUGACAUACAAAGGGUGUGUGAUGAGCAAUGGCCUAAAUCUUCCCAAAACCCAAAACACACAAGCUAGUAUUAUUAACGGAUUAUACAGUUCUGUUGAGUGCCUGAGGCAAAUAGUAGCAAAUCUAGAGCUCAAUAGUUUGCUGAGAGAAGUUACCUAACAUAACUUCCAAGACCAAGGGUGGAUAUUAUGAAUAUGAGAAAAGGUACUUUAUGAGUCAUGUUUGAAAAAUGUCUUCUUCAUAUCACUGAAAUCUGUCCAGUAUUUCUCUAUUAUUGAAAGUUUCUUGUCUUAUUUGUCGGGUCUUGUGUCAGAUAUGGGGAAGCACCUCCAGCCAUGUGCUAUAUGAGAUGGUUACAUUUACAUGAUUGGUUCCUUAUUCUGGGCCUGUUUUUCCUGUGAUGUUAUGAUUAAAACCAUUCUGUUACUGAGAUGUAAAGUAACGACUCAAAGAUGGUGUAAAAACCAACGUCCAUCCAUUUAUUAACUAUGGAAAUUAUCCCAUUCAGGUUGGAGCCAAUCCCAUCUAACCAGCAUUCAUCAUGCAGUUGGGGAUCAAUUUCAUCCGUGCUGUAGGCUCCUCUAUCAGACAUGCUCAAGAAUUUGCACGCAAUGCCUUUACCUGAAAGUUAAACAGAGUAAAUGGGUUGCUAGGAAGCCAGGUAGUAAACAAACCUUGACAAAUUGACCGUUGACAAAAGGCAUAGUGCUGUAAAGGUGACAGUGUUUUCAGUGACCUAAGAUGCAUGUCUUCGGACUGUGGUAGGAAGCUGUAGUAGGUAGCCCAUGCAUGCACAAGGGGACCAUGCAGACCCAGGUUUUUACCAGGAACCUUGCAGCCUUUAAAAACAACAUUGCAAUUAUAUUUAAUAUUCCUUAUGGCUAAUCUCAGAAAAGAUUGUGCAGUACCCUCAAGUAGGCACAGACCAAAACAAAGUCUUGUGUCUGUCUGAAGUAGACACUAACCCCCAAUUUCCACCGCAUCCGGAAUGGCUGCGAAAAGCCCCAAACCGCCGAUCUUAGCUGCUCGUUUCCAUUCAAGUUAAUGUGUCAAUUUCCACCAACUUAUUUCCAUUCCACUGCGGAUCAGCGGACUCUGCAGCCGAUCGCAAGAGUUGCAGCAUGCCGCAUAAAUUCAGCAUGGAUUAACCCAUGCUGGAAAGGAAGUUGGGCACAGACACGAAAUAAAACAAUGGCUUCCUUUCCAAAUAAAACACUAAGUGUUUCAGGCUAAUCGUAUUUCACAUUAUGUAAACGGGCGGAGAGGAUCAAGUGAAAGGAUUUUCGACCACAUUUCACCCUGAUGACACCAUGGAUGAGGGGAAGCUUAAUCAUAGAAGUCCCGAAGUGGAUUUCCUCCUCUGGAUUGACACAAUUGAAAGCUUAUAUGGUCACGUGGCUGUCUUUAUAGUGACAACUCGGUAUCGCGCAAUUGCAUGUGAAUCUGUGGGUUCUUGUGAGCUCUCGCGAUUCCUAUAAUCCACCACAAAAUUCGACGUUGCAGAUGCGGUGAAAACUGGGAGUACUACAGGAGCCUUAUUUGUAAACAAAGCUGUCAAUUAUGGUAUUAUAUCCCCUUAGCAUUUAAUAGCUAAUUAAAGUGAAAUGGGUUAAUUAGAUUUUUUAAUUUUUAUAAAUUUGACCCAUGUCCAACCUGUCAACAGGAGGAGGAGGGGUUUAUUACCUAUACUGCAGCCAAUAAGCUCAAAGGAUUUCUGUGUAGCUGCCAACAAACACUCUACACAGUCUAGUUAAGGAGUAAAACUAUUAGGAGGACAAACAUUUGGAGGAAGAUUUGCUGCCUUAAAGAUUAUUAUUAUUAUUAUUAUUUUGUGAUUCUGGUGUUUUUGUGUUUUAUUCAUCAAGACCAUAACUGAUAUUUGUUUAAUGUUUUAUUGAUUAGUGUUUCUUUUUUAACAACCCCCGUUUUUGAUUGUUUUAAGGUGUCAUAUUGUGGAUUGUCAGCUCCAUAGAGUCACAAGGUUGUGAGUCAGGCUUGCUGUCUCGAGUUGCUAAAACAAACAGCCAUCAAAAUCUGAAAAUACUGCAUCUGUACUAUCUGAAGUCAGUCAAAAUAGUGCUAUAAUUUUGAGCUGUGCAUCAUCUGUGUACGGUAUGUGUUCUUCAGAAACCAAAAGUUUCUUAGCCAUAGCAACAGUAACCAAGCAGGGCGGGGCUAAGCCGAUGAGUAGACAGAAUAAAAUUUCAAUGUAUGGUUCCAACUUUUUUUGUGGUUUUACAGCUCAGAAUGAGACUAUUUUUGAAACCAGUUUGCGUGAUCAACCAUCUUUUUUCCACUAUAGUCCCCACUCCUGAAUAAUAUUUACAGCUCUCUUAGUGCAGUUUGAACAAAUACAGUAAAUCAUGGAUUGGAAAACAAAGCGGUAAAGUUGAGGAGAGGGAGAAAACGCACAUGUUCCAUGGAAAAAACCUGGUCCUACUCAGCUCUGCGGCCCUGCGCCCAGUCUACCCGUGCCCACAAAAAAAAGUUGGCUUCCUCAUUUGAUUUUCUGUCUCCUUCCUCUCUCUUUGAACAGCAGCAUUUCCCGAUGUAUAACACAAAGACUGUACUUGUAGCAUUUGGUGUAACUGAUGUGUGUUUGGCCACAUUUUUUUCAUCUGAUUCACACACAUCUUUUUUUCUCUCUUAACACACACACACACACACACACACACACACACACACACGUACAACAUGUUUCCUCUCAUGUUCCCCUUGCGUGUGUCCUCAUGUGAUCCCUCUGUUACAGCUCUUCCUCCACCCACCGCCCGUGUCACUCUACCCCCAUGCCACACCCACGGUCCCCAUAGCAACGGGGUUUACCACAGUCUAAAGAUGAGUUUGCCAGAUGCAUAUGGGACUGCUGUGGAAAUAGUUUGAGUGCAGUUGCCAUGGAGACGUGGAUAAAUGGAACCAUACAAUGUGUAAUUACUCACUGUAUGGAGCCUAGCUUUGUGUGCGUGUGUUUCGUUUUAGAUUUGCAGUGGUCUUCUCACUUCCUGGCAAUAAACUUAUUCACAGACACUGUCUCCAUGUGAAACCAGUUUGUGUCAUAGUUUUCAGGCUCACUUUUUUAGACAGUGUGUUCACAUGGCGCUUUUUAGCAAAGGAAAUACUGUGUGAUAACCCAAACUGCCCCUCCAGGCGCUAAAACAAAUAAUCGUUGACAGCUGCUGGAAACAAAAAGAGGAAGUCUGAAAAAUGAUGUGAUUUUUUUUUGUUCUGUGAUAAUUCAGAGUCUAGCUUUUAGUUUUAAUCCAAGGGCAA